UACGAAGGGGGCUAGCGUUGCUCGGAAUCACUGGGCGUAAAGCGCACGUAGGCGGCUUUCUAAGUCAGGUGUGAAAUCCUGGAGCUCAACUCCAGAACUGCCUUUGAUACUGGAGAGCUUGAGUCCGGGAGAGGUGAGUGGAACUCCGAGUGUAGAGGUGAAAUUCGUAGAUAUUCGGAAGAACACCAGUGGCGAAGGCGGUUCUCUGGGCAUGUCCUGACGCUGAGGAGCGAAAGUGUGGGGAGCGAACAGG
rnacentral:rRNA from 1 species